UCCUACGGGGGGCAGCAGUGAGGAAUAUUGGUCAAUGGCCGGAAGGCUGAACCAGCCAAGCCGCGUGAAGGACGAAGGUGCCAAGCAUUGUAAACUUCUUUUGUCAAGGGACAAAAUCAGGCUCGAGAGCCUGACCGAGGGUACUUGAAGAAAAAGCAUCGGCUAACUCCGUGCCAGCAGCCGCGGUAAUACGGAGGAUGCGAGCGUUAUCCGGAUUUAUUGGGUUUAAAGGGAGCGUAGGCCGGCUUUUAAGUCAGCUGUGAAAGUCCGCGGCUCAACCGUGGAAUUGCAGUUGAAACUGGAGG
rnacentral:rRNA from 1 species